AAUAGCCUAACGGCUGAACCAGCAACUUGGAGGAAUGUAUAGCGAAAGCUAAUUGCAUUUAAUUUAGCGAAAGUUAAAUUUGUGCAAUAUUGACUAUGUCGAAUAAAGUUCUAGGUAGGUUAUGAUGAUGACAUUUCCUAUUUAUGUGUCUUGACCAAAUUACGUGCCAGCAGUCGCGGUAACACGUAAAAGACUAGUGUUAUUCAUCUUUAAUAGGUUUAAAGGGUACCUAGACGGUAAAUCAAGUCCGAUAAGGAUACUAAUUUUCUAGAGUUUAAUGUGAGGGGGCACUAAAGUACUGAUAAGUGUAGAGAUGAAAUUCUGUGAUACAAUAUACGGCACUGGCAAAGGCGAAAGCAUCUCAUUAUGUAAUAACUGACGUUGAGGGACGAAGGCUAGGUGUAGCAAAAAGGAUUAGAUACCCAAGUAGUCUUAGCAGAAAAUUAUGAAUGUCAUAGGAUAGAAAAAUAGACAAAAAUUUUUUUUCUAUAAAUGAAAGUGUAAGCAUUCCACCUCGAGAGUAAUUUGGCAACAUUGGAACUGAAAUCAUUAGACCGUUUCUGAAACAAGUAGUGAAGUAUGUUGUUUAAUUUGAUGGUCCGCAAAAAACCUUACCACAAUUUGAAUAGAAAAUUUCUUUUCAUACAAGCGCUGCACGGUUGUCUUCAGUUAAUGUCGUGAGAUCUUGGUUAGUUCCAUUAAAUUAACGUAAACCCUUAUUUUAUUUUUAUAUAGAGUAGUUCACCGCUAGAUUGGAUGUGAUAACAGGGACUAAGACAAGUCAUCAUGGCCUUAAUAUUGUGGGCUAUAGACGUGCCACAUAUGCCUUACAAAGGGAUGCAAAAUUGCGAAAUUGAGCUAAUCCCCUAAAAAUGGAUAAAAACUUAAU
rnacentral:rRNA from 1 species